rnacentral:lncRNA from 1 species
GAAAAAAACCCAGAAAUCAAAAUCAGCAAACCAACGAUAACAAGUAAAAUCAAACAGAAUUUCUGAUAAAUAAUCAUGAUUCAUCUCUAAGAAGAAUGAACAUGGUUGUAGAUCCAAGAAAAUUUAAAGGUUUUUCUUGCUUCUGAUGCUGUAUAUUCUCAUAUUCCUUACUUGGGGUUUCUGUUUCGAGAAGGAAGAUUAAAAGCUCAAAAUCGAUGUUCAUUAGACAGUAAUGGAGUUCACACAAACGAUUACACAAUUAGACACUAGUUAAUAAAAAACAUAAAUCUUACUGACAUGUAAAGCCUUAUUUACAGACACAUGAAAUGAAAACUUUUUUGGAGUUUUAAUUAGAAUCCUCCGUUCAUCAUGACAGGGAGAUCGUCGAAGCUCCAUAGAUCCAUGACGGUUUCACAAUCCUGAGUUGUUGAAUCGCCGUUGAGGAAAGCGUCGACGGAAGAAGCAUCCCAUGGCAUCUCAAAGAACAGGUCAUCGGUAUUCUCACAAUCUGAGACCAAAUUCAC